rnacentral:rRNA from 1 species
UUUUGUAUAAUGGGUCAGCGACUUAUAUUCUGUAGCAAGGUUAACCGAAUAGGGGAGCCGAAGGGAAACCGAGUCUUAACUGGGCGUUAAGUUGCAGGGUAUAGACCCGAAACCCGGUGAUCUAGCCAUGGGCAGGUUGAAGGUUGGGUAACACUAACUGGAGGACCGAACCGACUAAUGUUGAAAAAUUAGCGGAUGACUUGUGGCUGGGGGUGAAAGGCCAAUCAAACCGGGAGAUAGCUGGUUCUCCCCGAAAGCUAUUUAGGUAGCGCCUCGUGAAUUCAUCUCCGGGGGUAGAGCACUGUUUCGGCAAGGGGGUCAUCCCGACUUACCAACCCGAUGCAAACUGCGAAUACCGGAGAAUGUUAUCACGGGAGACACACGGCGGGUGCUAACGUCCGUCGUGAAGAGGGAAACAACCCAGACCGCCAGCUAAGGUCCCAAAGUCAUGGUUAAGUGGGAAACGAUGUGGGAAGGCCCAGACAGCCAGGAUGUUGGCUUAGAAGCAGCCAUCAUUUAAAGAAAGCGUAAUAGCUCACUGGUCGAGUCGGCCUGCGCGGAAGAUGUAACGGGGCUAAACCAUGCACCGAAGCUGCGGCAGCGACGCUUAUGCGUUGUUGGGUAGGGGAGCGUUCUGUAAGCCUGCGAAGGUGUGCUGUGAGGCAUGCUGGAGGUAUCAGAAGUGCGAAUGCUGACAUAAGUAACGAUAAAGCGGGUGAAAAGCCCGCUCGCCGGAAGACCAAGGGUUCCUGUCCAACGUUAAUCGGGGCAGGGUGAGUCGACCCCUAAGGCGAGGCCGAAAGGCGUAGUCGAUGGGAAACAGGUUAAUAUUCCUGUACUUGGUGUUACUGCGAAGGGGGGACGGAGAAGGCUAUGUUGGCCGGGCGACGGUUGUCCCGGUUUAAGCGUGUAGGCUGAUUUUCCAGGCAAAUCCGGAAAAUCAAGGCUGAGGCGUGAUGACGAGGCACUACGGUGCUGAAGCAACAAAUGCCCUGCUUCCAGGAAAAGCCUCUAAGCAUCAGGUAACAUCAAAUCGUACCCCAAACCGACACAGGUGGUCAGGUAGAGAAUACCAAGGCGCUUGAGAGAACUCGGGUGAAGGAACUAGGCAAAAUGGUGCCGUAACUUCGGGAGAAGGCACGCUGAUAUGUAGGUGAAGCGACUUGCUCGUGGAGCUGAAAUCAGUCGAAGAUACCAGCUGGCUGCAACUGUUUAUUAAAAACACAGCACUGUGCAAACACGAAAGUGGACGUAUACGGUGUGACGCCUGCCCGGUGCCGGAAGGUUAAUUGAUGGGGUUAGCGGUAACGCGAAGCUCUUGAUCGAAGCCCCGGUAAACGGCGGCCGUAACUAUAACGGUCCUAAGGUAGCGAAAUUCCUUGUCGGGUAAGUUCCGACCUGCACGAAUGGCGUAAUGAUGGCCAGGCUGUCUCCACCCGAGACUCAGUGAAAUUGAACUCGCUGUGAAGAUGCAGUGUACCCGCGGCAAGACGGAAAGACCCCGUGAACCUUUACUAUAGCUUGACACUGAACAUUGAGCCUUGAUGUGUAGGAUAGGUGGGAGGCUUUGAAGUGUGGACGCCAGUCUGCAUGGAGCCGGCCUUGAAAUACCACCCUUUAAUGUUUGAUGUUCUAACGUUGGCCCCUGAUCGGGGUUGCGGACAGUGUCUGGUGGGUAGUUUGACUGGGGCGGUCUCCUCCUAAAGAGUAACGGAGGAGCACGAAGGUUGGCUAAUCCUGGUCGGACAUCAGGAGGUUAGUGCAAUGGCAUAAGCCAGCUUGACUGCGAGCGUGACGGCGCGAGCAGGUGCGAAAGCAGGUCAUAGUGAUCCGGUGGUUCUGAAUGGAAGGGCCAUCGCUCAACGGAUAAAAGGUACUCCGGGGAUAACAGGCUGAUACCGCCCAAGAGUUCAUAUCGACGGCGGUGUUUGGCACCUCGAUGUCGGCUCAUCACAUCCUGGGGCUGAAGUAGGUCCCAAGGGUAUGGCUGUUCGCCAUUUAAAGUGGUACGCGAGCUGGGUUUAGAACGUCGUGAGACAGUUCGGUCCCUAUCUGCCGUGGGCGCUGGAGAACUGAGGGGGGCUGCUCCUAGUACGAGAGGACCGGAGUGGACGCAUCACUGGUGUUCGGGUUGUCAUGCCAAUGGCACUGCCCGGUAGCUAAAUGCGGAAGAGAUAAGUGCUGAAAGCAUCUAAGCACGAAACUUGCCCCGAGAUGAGUUCUCCCUGAGACUUAGAGUCUCCUGAAGGAACGUUGAAGACGACGACGUUGAUAGGCCGGGUGUGUAAGCGCAGCGAUGCGUUGAGCUAACCGGUACUAAUGAACCGUGAGG